AGUCGAAACACCCGCAAGGGUGUCCACCGCGGGAUCGCCUCCCGGUGCUGACGAUGACAGGCGAGA
rnacentral:hammerhead_ribozyme from 1 species